rnacentral:misc_RNA from 1 species
UAAGGACCAUUACCCAGGAGUUCUGGAAACUCUGAAGAGGUUUUUCAAGAACAACAUAUACCUAGCUGGAAGUUUUACUGGUGGAUUUUUUAUCGGAAUGACCUUUUGACCUUUUGGAUCCUCUUCUCCGGCUUUAUACGCAUUCUAAGCUUGAACAGCUGACACUGGAAGAAUUCACAUGUAAAUAAUCACCCUCUUUGUGACAUUGUUUAUACUUGUACUUUAUUUGAUGGAUCCUUUCAAUCAUGAGUACCUGAUAGAAUUGUAAUGAAAUUGAAACAAAAUUAUCAUGUAGAAAUUUUGUGUUUGACACCAAUCUAUGACCUUUAUUGGUGUGAGGAUCAGACUGUUACAGGGAGUGUUUGUGUGCUAAAUGUGUCGGGUCGAGCGUAAUAUGUGUGAGUUUGAACAUACUGUAUAGAUUAAACUACUGGUGUAGUCAAAAAUUCUCCAACAAUGGUGUCUGGUUGUUAGAAGACCAGUGAAUUGUAAUUAAUUUUUUCCCCAUGUCUUUAUCAUCUCAUUGUAACUAUAAUUGAUUUACAUGCAUUUUAUUUUGACAGAAAAUCUUUAUUUGUAUAGUAAAUCAACACUUAUUUGAGUAUAUCAAUUGACAAAAAACGCCCUUUACACUUCCACCUAUAGAAUGUAAAUGUUGAGGUGACCACAGAAAUAUACAGCUUGUCUCAUUAGAAUUCUAUGAAAGCAAAAUUCAUGCUGGGGAUUUUUUCUUCAAGUUUUCUUAACUUGUUCUAAUAAUACACCCCCCCCCCCAGUGGUAUGUAUGAACUUGAGUGUAUGAGUGUACUUAUAACUGGAUUGUAAUGUACUUACUGCAGAUAAUUAAACAGCAGUUAAAUUUUAAUGGGACAUUCCAUGGAGGUUGAUGCUGUAAUUUGCUUUUACAUGUAUAUUAUCUAUUUGAUGAGAAAUAUUGUA